AGCUGAAAAAUAUUAUUAGAAAAUAUUAGCCAGGUGUGCUUUGUUUAAAUGUGAAAUAAAAAGUAUUUAGAUAAUGGAAAUGGAAGGAUAUGAUUAUAAAUGGAAAGAUCUGUAAGCAGCGAGGUCUACUUGAAGUGCUUUAUGAUAUCUUUCGUCUUCCUCUACCUGUUGUGACUGAGGAGUUCAUAGAAGCACUACUCAGUGUAGAUCCAGGGAGGUUCCAAGACAGUUGGAGGCUUUCAGAUGGCUUUGUGGCAGCUGAGGCAAAAACUAUUCUUCCUCAUCGUGCCAGAUCCAGGCCAGACCUCAUGGAUAAUUAUUUGGCACUGAUACUCUCUGCAUUUAUUCGUAAUGGACUUUUAGAGGGCCUAGUUGAAGUGAUAACAAACAGUGAUGAUCAUAUCUCAGUUAGAGCUACCAUCCUUUUAGGAGAGCUUUUACAUAUGGCAAACACAAUUCUUCCUCAUUCACAUAGCCAUCAUUUGCACUGCUUGCCAACCCUAAUGAAUAUGGCUGCAUCCUUUGAUAUCCCCAAGGAAAAGAGACUGCGAGCCAGUGCAGCCUUGAACUGUUUAAAACGCUUCCAUGAAAUGAAGAAACGAGGACCUAAGCCUUAUAGUCUUCAUUUAGACCACAUU
rnacentral:sRNA from 1 species